GACAGAGGCCUCGAGCGUUAGGCGGAAUCACUGGGCUGAAAGCGUGUGUAGGCGGAUCGUUAAGUGCCUUGUGAAAUCCCACGGCUUAACUGUGGAACGGCUGGGCAUACUGGCGGUCUUGAGCCAUCUAGGGGCGACUGGAACAAACGGUGGAGCGGUGAAAUGCGUAGAUAUCGUUUGGAACGCCAAUGGUGAAAACAGGUCGCUGGGGAUGAGCUGACGCUGAGACACGAAAGCCAGGGGAGCAAACGGG
rnacentral:rRNA from 1 species